CUAGACCUACGGGGGGCAGCAGUGGGGAAUAUUGGGCAAUGGGCGCAAGCCUGACCCAGCAACGCCGCGUGAAGGAAGAAGGCUUUCGGGUUGUAAACUUCUUUUGACAGGGAAGAGCAGAAGACGGUACCUGUCGAAUAAGCCACGGCUAACUACGUGCCAGCAGCCGCGGUAAUACGUAGGUAGCAAGCGUUGUCCGGAUUUACUGGGUGUAAAGGGAGAGUAGGCGGCAAGGUAAGCGAUAUGUGAAAGCCUUAGGCUUAACCAAUGGAU
rnacentral:rRNA from 1 species